GGGGGGGGCGGGCGGCGGCCGCAGCCUUUGUACGGGGCGGGAGAAGGAGCCCCCACUCCCCGGGACAGCCGGGGCACCGGUGAGGAUCCCUCGUUCUCCCUCGGCAGUUUCCCGGAGAGGCGGCGGGGAAGGGCCGACGAUGGACCUCGAUGGGCCGGACGCCGCCCGCCGGGAGGCAGAGCUGGAGCGCGGCCGCUACUUGAGCCGCCGGGCCGUGGCCCAGGAGCAGCUGGCGCGAAUAAAGGAGCACAAGGAUCAGGCAUAUCUGGCCAAGCUAGAAAACAAAAGAAAAGGGGAACAAAUACAGAGAUCGACCCAAUUGUACCAACUGGAAAUUCAGAGAGGAAAAGAAAAGGAACAGGAGGAAAAAGUUGAAUGGCAGAGGCUGCAUCAUGAAUAUGUAGCUGAACAGAAAGUAAUUAAAGCUGAAGAGAAACAAAAAGAAGACAAAGAUGAUGAUUGGAUUAAAGCUUAUAUUAAAGGCUGAUGUAGAAGCAUACGGACAAAGCUUUUGAAAAACUAUCUGCACAGAUGAACAAGGCAUUUAAGAUUGAAGAUGACUGCCUUGUGAGAGGAGCUGCAGAGGUAGAAGCUGAAUACCAAAUGAAAAACUAGGAAAAAGAAGCAAGACAGAAGGCUGCCAUUGAAUCUAUUGCUGAAUACAGAGCCACUGUGAUUAAGAUGAAAGAGGAAAAGGAGAGACAGGAAAAAGAAAAGGAUGAGAGGGAUCGUAAUCAGUGGAUGACAGAAGACAGCAUCUACCAGGAAAUGGAAGAAGCCAAGAAACAAAGACAAUGUGAUGCAAACAUGGAAGUACAGGAAAUUCAGAUCCAGCAAAUAGCUGAAAAGCAGGCAAAAAAACAGCAGGAAAAGCAAGCAGACUUGGAUUACGAUGCUCAGAAACUGCUUUUCAUCAGGAUCAAGCAUUUUGGAGAUAAAGACAAAAUAUAUUUGACUACUAUCUAAGUAUCUACAAAAGAAAAGGAACCUUGCCAUUCUCUCCUUCCAAGUUCUUUAUGCCUGCAAAACCUAUCAGUGCCCAAUAGCUGAAGCUAACUCUGGAGCAAGUUACAAAACAUGCUGUUUGCCAAAACCUGCCUAUACUCAACUUCGGCUCAAGAAACAAGUGCCAUAGUUCACAACUGUACUUUAACUAGUCUAAUUUUAUUAUGGAACAAAGCAGUAGAUUCACUUUUUACGAGGUCAAGAGGUAACAACCACAGGUAAACUAUCAGUACUGUACUCCUAGAGUAUUGCUGGGCCUCCAGCCUUAAUUCAAACCUUACGUUUUGGCCUAAAAAAAAAAGUCUUACUGAGCAAACAAUAAAAUUGAGUAAGCUGUUUAAAACAUCUGCAUUUUAAAACAUC